UACGUAGGGUGCGAGCGUUGUCCGGAAUUAUUGGGCGUAAAGAGCUCGUAGGCGGCUUGUCGCGUCGAAUGUGAAAACUCGGGGCUCAACCCCGCGCUUGCAUUCGAUACGGGUCUGCUGGGGUCCGGCAGGGGAGACUGGAAUUCCUGGUGUAGCGGUGAAAUGCGCAGAUAUCAGGAGGAACACCGGUGGCGAAGGCGGGUCUCUGGGACGGUACUGACGCUGAGACGCGAAAGCGUGGGGAGCGAACAGG
rnacentral:rRNA from 1 species